UUGGACCUGAUAUCAGACAAGAUUACCCGCUGAAUUUAAGCAUAUAACUAAGCGGAGGAAAAGAAACUAACAAGGAUUUCCCUAGUAACGGCGAGUGAAGCGGAAAGAGCUCAAGCUUAAAAUCUCUGUGCAAGUUUUGCAUGGCGAAUUGUAGUCUAUGGAUGCGAAGUCAGAGUGUUCGCUCGGGUUAAGUUCCUUGGAAGAGGACAGCAUUGAGGGUGAUACUCCCGUGUGUACCUGAGUGAUUGCUCGUACGACUCGUAUUCUUUGAGUCGCGUUGUUUGGGAAUGCAGCGCAAAGUAGGUGGUAAAUUCCAUCUAAAGCUAAAUAUUGGUGCGAGACCGAUAGCGAACAAGUACCGUGAGGGAAAGAUGAAAAGAACUUUGAAAAGAGAGUUAAAAAGUACCUGAAACUGUUGAAAGGGAAGCGAAUCGUUUCCAGUGUAAUGUUCAUGGCAUAUUUCAUUGGCGCGUUGGUUCGUGCGGUUUGUGGUGCAGUAGUUUAUUCUACGCGUGCUGACUGCGUGUGGCUGGCUUGCUGGUGCCCUGUGCUGUGGAUGGAGGUCAGAGUCAGUUUCUGCUGCGGGAAAUGGCCGUGGAGGAGGUAGGUCGCGCUUCGGUGYGGCUGUUAUACCUUUGCGUGCUAGUAGUCGUGGCGGAGACUGAGGUGCUUGCAACAUGCUUUGAAGUCUUGCGGGUGUUUAUCUGGUGUGUUGAUGGGAAAGCUUGCUUUGCUGUUGGCGUCACUGGGUGAUGAUGUCUGUAAGUAACUUURGCUGUUCGGGACUCUGGCGAAAUGGAGCGAUUCGACCCGUCUUGAAACACGGACCAAGGAGUCUAACAUGUGUGCAAGUAUUAGGGUGUCAAACCCGAAUGCGCAAUGAAAGUAAAGGGCAGCGUUGGUUGCCUGAGGUAGGAAAGCUUUGUCUCGGCAAGGCUGGCACUAUCGACCGAUCAUGAACCUACGUGGUGAAAGAUUUGAGUAUGAGCACAUAUGUUGGUACCCGAAAGAUGGUGAACUAUGCCUGACUAGGGUGAAGCCAGGGGAAACUCUGGUGGAAGCUCGUAGCGAUUCUGACGUGCAAAUCGAUCGUCAAAGUUGGGUAUAGGGGCGAAAGACUAAUCGAACCAUCUAGUAGCUGGUUCCCUCCGAAAUUUCCCUCAGGAUAGCAGCAACUUAUGUACGGUAGUUUUAUGAGGUAAAGCGAAUGAUUAGAGGCCUCGGGGAAGAAACUUCCUUGACCUAUUCUCAAACUUUAAAUCUGUAAGACCUGCAGGUUUCUUAAUUGAACUUGCGGAUGUGAAUACCUAAGUUGCUAGUGGGCCAUACGGGGUAAGCUCGUCUGGCGAUGCGGGAUGAACCGAACGCAAAGUUAAAGUGCCAAAAUGUUCGCUCACCUAGAUACCAUAAAAGGUGUUGGUUCAUUUAGACAGCAGGACGGUGGCCAUGGAAGUCGGAAUCCGCUAAGGG
rnacentral:rRNA from 1 species